rnacentral:rRNA from 1 species
UACAGAGGUCCCAAGCGUUGUUCGGAUUCACUGGGCGUAAAGGGUGCGUAGGCGGUCGGGUAAGUCUGAUGUGAAAUCUCACAGCCUAACUGUGAAACUGCAUUGGAUACUAUCCGGCUAGAGGAAUGGAGGGGAGACUGGAAUACUUGGUGUAGCAGUGAAAUGCGUAGAUAUCAAGUGGAACACCAGUGGCGAAGGCGAGUCUCUGGACAUUUCCUGACGCUGAGGCACGAAAGCCAGGGGAGCAAACGGG